AUUGAACGCUGGCGGCAGGCCUAACACAUGCAAGUCGAACGAGUGGCGGACGGGUGAGUAAUGUCUGGGAAACUGGCUGAUGGAGGGGGAUAACUACUGGAAAAGGUAGCUACUACCGCAUACCAUCAGAUGUGCCCAGAUGGGAUUAGCUUGUUGGUGGGGUAACGGCGCCCCAAGGCGACGAUCCCUAGCUGGUCUGAGAGGAUGACCGGCCACACUGGAACUGAGACACGGUCCAGACUCCUACGGGAGGCAGCAGUAGGGAAUAUUGCACAAUGGGCGCAAGCCUGAUCCAGCCACGCCGCGUGUGUGAAGAAGGCCUUCGGGUUGUAAAGUACUUUCGGCGGGGAGGCGUUACCCACAGAAGAAGCAACGGCUAACUCCGUGCCAGCAGCCGCGGUAAUUC
rnacentral:rRNA from 1 species